GCUGUGAUCGUAUAGUGGUUAGUACUUCAUGUUGUGGCCGUGACAACCAGGUUCGAAUCCUGGUCACAGCA
rfam:Ciona savignyi cont_471, whole genome shotgun sequence.